CCUACGGGUGGCAGCAGUGGGGAAUAUUGGACAAUGGGGGCAACCCUGAUCCAGCCAUGCCGCGUGUGUGAAGAAGGCCCUCGGGUUGUAAAGCACUUUCAGUGAGGAAGAACGCCUGGUGGUUAAUACCCAUCAGGAAAGACAUCACUCACAGAAGAAGCACCGGCUAACUCCGUGCCAGCAGCCGCGGUAAUACGGAGGGUGCGAGCGUUAAUCGGAAUUACUGGGCGUAAAGCGCGCGUAGGUGGCUUGAUAAGCCGGUUGUGAAAGCCCCGGGCUCAACCUGGGAACGGCAUCCGGAACUGUCCAGCUAGAGUGCAGGAGAGGAAGGUAGAAUUCCCGGUGUAGCGGUGAAAUGCGUAGAGAUCGGGAGGAAUACCAGUGGCGAAGGCGGCCUUCUGGACUGACACUGACACUGAGGUGCGAAAGCGUGGGUAGCAAACAGGAUUAGAUACCCUUGUAGUC
rnacentral:rRNA from 1 species